rnacentral:sRNA from 1 species
UCGCUUCUACGGCAUACCUUCACGGGCUGGAGGAUAGCAGAGAGCGAGAGACCCGAGCCUCAAGCAAAAGCGGCCAAUGGCCGGAAAGCUGAAAAAUCACGAUUUUGGGUAGAGGCUGGUAGGUUGAUUCUCGAACGCCUUGGACC